CCGACCAACCAAAGCCUAACUCCUCCCAUCUCUCCUCCCAUCGCACUCCUCCUUCCUCAUCUCCUUGCCGCCGCCACCUCCUCCCCGUCCUGCAGCGGCGCGUCCCGCCACCUUCUCCUCUCCGUCCCGCCACCACCUCCUCCUUCCUCAACGCGUCCCACAACGGCGUCCACCGCGUCGCCUGCCGGCCGACCUCGCGGGUGGCUGCGUCGGCCAGCCCCACCGGCGACCUGCUACCCCAUCGCUGGCUUCUCCCUCACCCCUCUCUAACCCUAGCUUCCCGUCGCCGGCGGCGGUGUCCUCAUUCCCUCGCGUUGCACCUGAACCUCCCUCCCGCUCCUAGUUUUCUUCCUCCUCCUCCACCGCUAGGGUUUCGUCUCCCCGAUCCCCAGUUCCCGAAGCUCGGAUCCAGCAGAAGCAGUGAUGGCGGCCGCGGGAGAUCCUCUCCAAGGUUCAGACCAAGCCCGCUGAUGGAGCUGCAGCCGCCGGAGGGGCCGACGCGUCGGAUGCGACCGCCGCCCCGGCCGCCCCCGCCGAGGACCUCAAGAUCUGGGAUGCGUGUCGGAUGCGCUUCCCCAACCACGACAACGACGACGCCGUGAGCUGCCGACCUCUUCCUGGGCUUCGCAACCAACUUCCAGCAGGUCUACGCGCUGGCGCAGUGCGACGUUUACUGCAGCAACUGCGUCACCCAGGCCGUGCAGCACAUCGCGGUCGAGUGCGGCGGCGCCCCCUCCGGCCAGCCGCUGGCCUGGUCCUCCUUGAGGAGGAGGAGCAGGAGGGGCGCACCCAGCAUCAGGAGAGGAGAGGAGAGGGAGAUCCAUGGCGGCCGGCGGCCAGAUCCGCGCCGGGACCGGGCCUGCUCGUCAAGGAGACCCAUGCCAUGGACUAGUAGCUCAAGCAGUCUUCUUUUCUUCCUGCCCAUCACCAUCUGCAGGUUGUCAUCCUCAAGGCCUCCACCAUCUGCAGGGUCUACAAUGCACCACCUUGAUUUGUUGAUUCGGUCUGGAGCAGCAGCAGCAACAGCUCCUUCCUUCCAUGUAGAUGGAGGGCAUGACCUGCACAAGGAGCUCCAAGGUCACAAAGCUUUUGUGGGGUAAUAUAUGUACAGUGAGUGGAGGACAACAUGAGUAAACCGUGGGGACAAUAUAUGUGGGACAACGAAGGUUAUGGGUGAUUGCUAAAAAUGACAGGGAUCAGAUCGACCGCCAAGAAUGAUGCAUAGCUUAACUGCUGUCGUAGUCGAUUUCCAACAGGGAAUACCUUUCUAGACUCCAACCUUCACAGUUCUCGUUGACUCAUCUUGCUAGCAACUGAGUAGCUUUUUGCAUACUUCUGUCAACAGCUCAAUGCCACCAAAUCUUUUUUGCCGUUCUUCUCUAUUAUACAACAUCUGUUAUACAUCAUACGGUGCCGAGCUCCUCAUACACCAACCAUUGUACAAACAUAUCAUGAGUGGUAGGAAAAUUUUGAACCUGUAGUAUGUCACCUUAUUUUCCAGAUGGGCAAUAGACGUCGUCAUACUGUACUGUAAUAGUGUCUUACCGGGUUUCAAUUUGGUUUGCUUUGUACAAUGCUUGCACUGGAAAUGUUGAACUAUCGAGCCUCCUCUACUCUGUUCUGUUGUAUGAUUACAAUUGCAAUAGUAUUAUUGGAUCUGUUAAUCAGUGCCUACAUGUUAGAUUGGCUUGAUUUUGAGAUGCAGCGAGACUCUGAUGUUUCUGAAUUCUGAUGUGAAGGCAUGUCUACAUCAGUACAACUUUGCAUGCAUAUUUUAUUGACUAGAUAUAUACGUGUUGACUGUCUGUUCCUCUAGUUUCCUGAUGUGCAUGUUUAUUUGGAUGCACUGAACCUUUGCAUGUAGUAAUAGUUCUCUGAUAUACAUGCAACCUGAUGGAACUUUCAUGCUCUGCCAUUGACCUACCAUGAAUAUAUAUUACUACAGCAGCCUGUUACUAUUACUACAUGCCAUCUUUUUAUUUUCAGUAGUGAUUUUGAUGCAACCUGAUGGAACUUUCAUGCUCUGCUAGUGAGAAUAAGAUGUUAUAGUCUAGAUAUAUGAUGCAAAGUAUGUUGUAUUUACACACUUGUAUCAAACUGCAGCAACCGCACAGGUGAGUUGAGGCAGGGGAUAGAGAGGUUGAGCCGCUCGGGUGCUGAUCAUGUACAGCUGAGCUCUUUCCAGCGUCGAUGCGACCAAACCAAUGAUGCAAGGCUUCUGCUGUUGCUGCUGCAUGUCUUCAUCAACUUAGUUGUUCCACAGGGAGAGAUAUAAAUCCUUCACUUGUUCACUUUGUAAUCUGCAGAUUACUUCUUCCAUUAAUCACCUAGUGCUCCUGUUAGUGAGAUUCAUCUAGUAUUUUUUUGCAAAGCAUGCAAUGGUUUGGAGUAGUUGAUCAUGGCCUGAUGGAACCUCUAGCUGAACAAUAAGAUAGGUUAGUUAGUGUAGUAGAGGAAGAAAGAUGAUAUAUUUAUUAUUUGCUUUUGCUGCUUCUAUAUACACAUGUAUGUAUGUUUAGUUAUUCGACAUGCUUCUGAAAUUGACCGUGGUUUUAGACCGAAACACUAUGCUUGUUCAAAGAGUGUCCAUGUUGUGUGAUAUAUGAUGCUGCACCGUUGUGCAUCUCUCUUUUCUUGUGUGCCGCAUCAUUGUAGAUAUGCUUGAUAGAGUAAAUGAUUUCAGUUCUGGUUGUGUCAAAUCUUUACUAUGUACCAUGCUUAGUGUUUAUUUUACUGAGGCAUUGGGCAUUGGAAUUUAGGCAUUUAUGUAUAUUUUUAGUUCUGGAUGUGUCCAAUGCAAACAUUACUGUCAACUGUCAAGUUGAUUCUAAAAUGUCUUAUUAAGUUCAUUUCAAAUGGUUAUUUCUGGAUUUAGUAUGAAUUUAUUGUUGACCUGGCCUAUGCUCUGUACCAAUUUAUUGCAUUAUUUUGUUAUUUAGUGUUAAAUAUGCUGUUAUAUUUACUUUUAUUUUGUUCCUAAACAUUUUGUUCUAUAACGUGCAGAUGCUGGCCUUUCAUGUUCCUUUGCGAAUAUCAGGACAAAGAAGUCGGAGGAAGCAUAGUUCUAGCUCAUUGGAGCUAAUUCUGAGAGUAAUUUGAUGUAGCAAAACUUGGCUCAUGUGAUUGUACACUUGUAGAGCUUGUUAUCUGAUUGUAUACUUGUAGAGCUUGUUAUCUGAUUGUAAUCUUGAUGCUGAUCACAUUUGUAUGUGUGUUAUAUGAUGUAGCACUUUGAUGGUUGAUAAUAUUUGAAGUAUUUCCUGUA